CACGUAGGGCGCAAGCGUUGUCCGGAAUUAUUGGGCGUAAAGAGCUCGUAGGCGGUCUGUUACGUCUGCUGUGAAAACCCGGGGCUUAACCCUGGGCUUGCAGUGGAUACGGGCAGACUAGAGGCAGGUAGGGGAGAAUGGAAUUCCCGGUGUAGCGGUGAAAUGCGCAGAUAUCGGGAGGAACACCGGUGGCGAAGGCGGUUCUCUGGGCCUGACCCUGACGCUGAGGAGCGAAAGCGUGGGGAGCGAACAGG
rnacentral:rRNA from 1 species